rnacentral:rRNA from 1 species
UACAGAGGUCCCAAGCGUUGUUCGGAUUCAUUGGGCGUAAAGGGUGCGUAGGCGGCGCGGUAAGUCGGGUGUGAAAUCUCGGAGCUUAACUCCGAAACUGCAUUCGAUACUGCCGUGCUUGAGGACUGGAGAGGAGACUGGAAUUUACGGUGUAGCGGUGAAAUGCGUAGAUAUCGUAAGGAAGACCAGUGGCGAAGGCGGGGUCUCUGGACAGUUCCUGACGCUGAGGCACGAAGGCCAGGGGGAGCAAACGGG